GUAGGGCGGGACACGUGGUAUCCUGUCUGAAUAUGGGGGGACCAUCCUCCAAGGCUAAAUACUCCUGACUGACCGAUAGUGAACCAGUACCGUGAGGGAAAGGCGAAAAGAACCCCGGCGAGGGGAGUGAAAAAGAACCUGAAACCGUGUACGUACAAGCAGUGGGAGCACGCUUAGGCGUGUGACUGCGUACCUUUUGUAUAAUGGGUCAGCGACUUAUAUUCUGUAGCAAGGUUAACCGAAUAGGGGAGCCGAAGGGAAACCGAGUCUUAACUGGGCGUUAAGUUGCAGGGUAUAGACCCGAAACCCGGUGAUCUAGCCAUGGGCAGGUUGAAGGUUGGGUAACACUAACUGGAGGACCGAACCGACUAAUGUUGAAAAAUUAGCGGAUGACUUGUGGCUGGGGGUGAAAGGCCAAUCAAACCGGGAGAUAGCUGGUUCUCCCCGAAAGCUAUUUAGGUAGCGCCUCGUGAAUUCAUCUCCGGGGGUAGAGCACUGUUUCGGCAAGGGGGUCAUCCCGA
rnacentral:rRNA from 1 species